ACUAACUUGACUGAUCACAUACGUACACAUACAGGAGAGAAACCAUAUCACUUGUGAUAUCUGUGGUAAAUCAUUCUCUCAAAGCGCUCACUUGACUAAUCACAAUCGCCUUCAUAUUGGUGAGAAACCUUGUCAUUGUGAGAUCUGUGGUGAGUCAUUUUCUCAAAGGCGUCAGUUGAAUAGACACACGCAUACACAUACAGGAGAGAAGCCAUAACCUUGCAUUAGUUGUUGUAAUUCAUUUUUUGCAAAUGGUGUUGUAACUACACACGAAAAUGUUCAUUCCAGACAAAACCUAUGUAAUGGUCGUGUCUGUGUUAAAGCAUUCUCUCAUAGACUUAACUUAACUCUACAUGAACGAAUCCCUACAUGAGAGUAGCCAUGUCAGUGUGACAUGUGUGGCAAAUGAUUCUCUCGAAAAAGCCACAUGCAUAAACAUGUGGCUAUUCCCAGAGACGUGUUACUGUCUCAAUGUCAAAAUUUAUUAAGUCAUAACGAUAAUUAACACUAAUUGGUCUGCUAAAACACAGGCUUUUUCCUUUCAUCAGUUAUAGGAAUUUCUUAAUAAAGAAUAAUGAAUAA